AACGAACGCUGGCGGCAUGCCUAACACAUGCAAGUCGAACGAGAUCUUCGGGUCUAGUGGCGCACGGGUGCGUAACGCGUGGGAAUCUGCCCCUUGGUUCGGAAUAACAGUUGGAGACGACUGCUAAUACCGGAUGAUGACGAAAGUCCAAAGAUUUAUCGCCAGAGGAUGAGCCCGCGUAGGAUUAGCUAGUUGGUGUGGUAAAGGCGCACCAAGGCGACGAUCCUUAGCUGGUCUGAGAGGAUGAUCAGCCACACUGGGACUGAGACACGGCCCAGACUCCUACGGGAGGCAGCAGUGGGGAAUAUUGGACAAUGGGCGAAAGCCUGAUCCAGCAAUGCCGCGUGAGUGAUGAAGGCCUUAGGGUUGUAAAGCUCUUUUACCCGGGAUGAUAAUGACAGUACCGGGAGAAUAAGCUCCGGCUAACUCCGUGCCAGCAGCCGCAGUAA
rnacentral:rRNA from 1 species